AAGAAGAAGAAGAAGAGGAAGAAAGAAAAGAAAAGAUAAGAAAAUCUCAAAUUCCAUGUAGAAGCUCGAGUCCUAAGUUACUUAAAUUUUAUAGUGCAAAAAAAUUCAAAUGAAACAAACAGUCUAAAGCUUUCUGAUAAAGUUCUCUAAUUUGGGUGCAUUAGUGAUGGUAUGAACUGGAGGUGCUUUAUUCCUCAGGUACACGCUGUUCUGGAUCACACUGCUGAUCAGCAAGCUAGCAUUCAGCUACUAUGUGGAGGUGACUUUGUUCUCCUUUUACUUUAUUUUUAGGUGUAGCAUUGUUUGUGUGUGUGUGUGAUUUUAAAGGUUAAGGCACAACUAGUAUGAUCAUUAAAUGAUCGAGCAUUUGGGCAUGUUCCUAGAGUUUUUAAGUAUAGUCUUGUUGGUUGUUAUUUGAUUAGUGGUUUAUAGGUGAAGGUACAAUCAAAAUGAUCUUUAAAUGAUUGGGCAUUUAGGUGUAGGCCUAGAUUUUUCUAGUAUAAUCAUGUUCGUUUGUAUUAGGUUUAGUAGUUUGAAAGGUGAAGGCACAAUCUAUUAUGAACUUUAGAUGAUUGUGCAUUUUCAUGUAGGCCUGUGGUUUUCAAGCAUAGUCUUGUUGGUUUUUGGUUGUCAUUUUGUGUGUGUGGCCCAAUUUGUUAUGUAACCCUAAUAAAAGAUUAAGUACAAAUCAUAUGCAAAAAUAGGAAAUUUCAUUGUUUUCCAAAACCAUGCCUACCUCCAUUGAUGGGAAUGCAAAUUCCACUAUCAGCAAUAUGAACAUGUUAUAGAGGAUAGAUGAAUUGGUUCAAAAUGCAGGCCCUGCUCAUUGUAUCUUCCCCUCAAUUCGAGCAAUGAAUAAACUCAUGUUUCCAUGCUCUACAUUAGCCAUAAAACAAACCCAUAUUUUCCAUGCUCUACAUUAGCCAUGAAACAAACCUAUAUUUUCCAUGCUCUACAUUAGCCAUGAAACAAACCUAUAUUUUAUUUCUCUGCUGGUUGUUUCCUUUCUCUCCCUUUCAUCUCUGCCAGAGCCAUGAAAAAUCCUUGUAGGCUCAUCUCUAUUUCUGAUGGAUUUUUCCCUUAUGAAUUUUCUUUGCAUGACAUAAGAUUUACAUAGAUUAUAAAUCAAUUCCUUAUUAGACCAGGACGAUUUCCAUUCUGGUGAAAAAAACAUCAAGAAAGUUCUCUUCUACAUGAAAGUCUCUACAAAAAAGUAUUAUAAUAAGAUAGGAGUUCUCCUUUACAAUCCUGUUGCAAUUCAUCUUGGGCUUGUUAUUGACGUUUUCCCUUGCACUCCUGUUUCGGUUCAUGUUUUGCAUGUCAUUUAGAAAUUCCUCUACACUGGUUUAAUUCAAAAUUUCCUUUACAUUCUGGUUUCAGUACAUGGUAUGCUGUCAUUUGUUUUUAAUAUCUAAUUCUACAUUUUCUUUCUAAAAGAUAUUGCCAUUAGUUGGACCUACAAAGGCGAUCAUGGCAGUGCCUGUUGGCAGAUAUAAAUGGCAUGAGUUCUUUCCAAACGGUAAUGCUCAGUUAUUUUGUUAUUUUUUCCUGUUUCUUUUUCUCCUUUAUGGCUAUCUCCUUACUCAUUUAUGUUUUGGAACUGUUAUAGUAAAACACAAUUAUGGUGUGGUUAUUGCAAUAUGGGCUCCCAUUGUUCUUGUAAGUACACUAUAAUAUUUCUCUACAAUUAUGUAUAUAAGUUUUCAAGUUAUCUUCUGAAUACUGACAUUAGUUUAUUGGUAUAUAGGUUUAUUUCAUGGACACGCAAAUAUGGUAUUCUAUAUUCUCCACCAUUUUUGGUGGCAUUAAUGGUGCCUUCAGCCACCUUGGUGAGGUUAGUGGCCAAUUUGUAUUCAAAACAUGGUGAAACAAGUUGAAGAAAAAGUUAGUGACCUUUUGAAACCCAUGAAUAUUGGAUUUUCCAGUGGGCAGAAAUGAAAAUUUCUUUUCUAUUUGACUUUUCUGGGAGUUCUGAUGGUUAGGGAUACAAUUUAUUCCUUUUUGAAAUUUACUUUGUCUUAGUUCUUUUUUUUAGAUACGGACACUUGGGAUGUUACGGGCAAGAUUUGAAUCUGUUCCUUCAGCUUUUAGCACACGCCUUGUGCCAGGACCAAAAGAGAAAUCCAAAAGAAAGCACAAAGAAAAAAAUCACUCGGUAGUGCUAUCUUUCCUUGAUUUAGCAUUUUUUUUUAUAGGAAACAAUGAUUUAGCAAUGUUCAUUAUUGCUCUUAACUCCAUGCACUCUGUUAGAUACUUUCUCAAUCUAGAUGCAGGCAACAUAUUCUGUGUCUGUACAAUAUAUACAGUGUGACUUAUUUACUCCAUUGUCUCUAGCUAAAGUGAACACUUUUCUGCUGUAGGAUGAGAAUACAGAAAGAAAGAACAUUGCAAAAUUCUCUCAGGUCUGGAAUGAGUUCAUACAUUCUAUGCGAUCAGAGGACUUGAUAAGCCAUUGGUUAGUUGCUUGCUUAGACAUGCAUUACAUAUGGAUGAUAUCCAUUAUAAGUUCAUAACUUUCUUUCUUUCUUCUUAUUGUUUUUUGGGUGGGGGACUGCGGGGAUGCUCCAGGGAGAGAAAUUUAUUGUUAGUUCCAAAUUCUUCAAGUGAGAUUUCUGUUGUACAGUGGCCUCCUUUCCUGCUUGCUAGUAAGGUAAUGUAUAAGCUUGGCUUAGUUCCUCAUGUUCAUUUCUCAGUUCAACAAACAUUGUGUUUGACUUUCUUGCUUUUUCACAUUUACCAGAUUCCUAUAGCAUUAGACAUGGCAAAGGAUUUUAAGGAGAAUGAAGACGCUGGUUUAUUUAAGAAGAUAAAGAAUGAUGAUUAUAUGCAUUCAGCAGUGAUUGAAUGCUAUGAGUCACUCAGGGAUAUAUUAUACGGACUUUUGGAAGAUCAAAAUGACAAGAUGUAAGGAAGAUCUGCUCAAAAUGUUUCCUUUUCAGUUCUUACGCAAUUUAAUGUUGUCUCACCAUAUACAACUUUUCUGAUAAUAAAAGAAUUUUUAUUUUUCUCAAUAUAACGAAAAAUCCUGAUUAUGGUUUAGCUUGCCUCUUGUUAUACAGGAUUAUAACCCACAUAUGCCGUCAAGUCGAUGAUAGCAUACAACGUAGCAGAUUUUUGAGUGAAUUCCGGAUGAGUGGUCUGCCUCUGCUCAGUUUUCAGUUGGAGAAGUUUCUAAUACUUCUGGUAGCAUUCGUCUUUGUAUUCCUUAUUAUUAUUAUUAUUACUAUUAUUAUUAUUAUUAUUAUUUUCCAAUUGCUUGGCAAUGAACAAGAGAUGCAGUCUGGAUUUUAUCUUUAUAACUACUGAGUGCUUAAGUAUGCACAUUGGCAGCUUGGUGAUGAGGAACAUGAGAAAGACCCAUCCAUCAAUGAGGAAUAUGAGAAGGACUCAUCCAUCAUCAAUGCACUGCAGGAUAUUAUGGAGAUUAUCCUGCGGGAUGUUAUGUAUAAUGGGAUUGAGUAAGUGCUGAAUGCAGGAUCACUUGGGGGAAUUUACAGAAAAAGAAAAAAAAACAAAAUUAUAUUGUAUUUUUACAACAGAAUGAGUUUUCAUGACUCAUUUUUGCUAUGGUCCCUUUUCUAUGUAGAAUUCUGGAAACAACUCACCUGCACCACUUGAGAAAUCAGAAUGAAUACAGGGAGCAGAGGUUUGAAAAGUUACACUUCCAGCUUACUCAGAAAAAGGCUUGGAGGGAGAAGGUAUUUAGUGCUCAUUGUGUUUUUUCAAAUAUCUUGCAAUAGUGUUGUAUGUGACCAUCCUUUGAUCUUGUUCUUUUCUUUUUUACUCAAUAGGUUACCAGGCUCCAUUUGCUUUUGACAGUCAAGGAAUCUGCUAUAAAUGUGCCUAUGAAUUUGGAAGCUCGUCGACGUAUCACUUUCUUUACAAACUCCUUAUUUAUGAUUAUGCCACCUGCUCCAAAAGUUCGUAAUAUGUUCUCUUUUAGGUCUGUUCUGCUGAAUAUAAGUAUUCUCUGCACUCUUGCUUUAUUGUGUUUAUCGUCCAUUAUUUCUAGUUGGGUUGUCAAUAUGCUUCUUUCUUUGAUGAAUUCGACGUUAAAGGCAUUUUGUGUGCUAAUUCAUCGUAUUAAUAUAUUAUCAUCACGAUACUGUUAUUCUUCAUGAAAAUAUUUGAGUUUUGCCACUUGAAUCACAUGAACUCAGCAGGUGUAUCUUUCAUGUCAAAUCCCAAAGCUAUUGGUUCUUCCAUUAUUUUGAAGAUGCUACUACCAUAAAGUUUGAGUACCGUAAAUAACAGUGAUUUACCCUUCUAGUUUCUAAGCUUUAUAUUUUGCACUUCAACCUCAAUAAAAAUUAGCGUGCUUGAUGUAGGACAAUCCUAGGAUGGUUGCCUAUAAUCAAAUAAGUGGGCUAGAGUUUUUAUCUUUUAAGGUUUAAGGAGAGGAACAAGAGAUAAAGCUUAUGUUGACAGAGUGAAAUGAAAUAAAAUAAAAUAUAAAGAAAGAAGAUAAGAAACCUUAGAGUCGCACUAAGGCCUUCUAGGAGUCUCACCUAGAUGAAACUCCAUGGAGUCUCAUCAUUGAAAAUUGCAAAGUAGACAAGAAACAUAAUAUUAUUAAUCAUCAAACAAUACUUGGGUUUAUAUUAAUUAGCUUCAUUAAUAGGCUUCUCUAAGAAAUCUAAAUUCUUCUAGGAUUCUAAUAACCUAUUUUGACUCUAAUUUUAAUUCUCCUAUAACCUAAUUGGCUACUUUGAAUUUGACUCCAAUAAAUACUAAUCCUAAUUUAAUUAUAAGUAAUACUAAUCCUAUUUUAAUUAUAACUAAUACUAAUUCUUUUUCUUGAUGUAUAUCUUGGAGACUCAUCCUCAUCAUUGUUUUUUCCUAUUAUCUUAUUUGCCUCCAUUACAAUAAAUCCAUAUGGGAGAGAUUAAGGGAUAGAGAGCAUCAGAUUAGUAGCUCAAUCUGCUUCUCUUUUCCCAAUGUUAUUUUAGUUUUGGGUUGUUUUCUUUCAUUUUUAUUCCUAUUUGCUUUGAAGAAUAUGUCACCCUUCUUUUUAACUAGUUUUCCUCUAAUUAAUAUUGUUUCUUAUUUCCUAGUAGCAAAAAUAUUGCAUAUGAGAGGUUGAAAAAACCCAACCCAAAUUGAGAUCGAGUUGAAAAAACCUUACCUAAGCCCAACCCGAGUAUUGAACAUGAUCGCCCAAGCUUGUCCAAAUGUUGAGUUAGGUCAAGAAACCCAUCCAAGUUGUGUUCCUACAUGCCUCUAAGUCGGUCUUCUAAGUUGAGAUAAGAAAGUUACCUAAGAGUUGGAAUUAGGAUUUUGAAUAAUUCAUUCUCAUUUAUUUGAAAUUCAACCUAUUUAUACAAGUUGUAUAGUUUUAAAAAAAUGGCCUAAGGAAAUAAAAACCAAUUCCUACAAUUACUCUAACAUUCCUAUCUUACUAUAGAUAUACAGAUUUGAUUUGAUCUUAUAUUCAAAUUCCAUGAUUUUAGUUCAUAAUCAAAUCAAGAAAAAAAAUCCAUGUUUUUCGACACUCCCCUUCAAGUUGAUGCAUAAAUAUUAUGCAUUUUCAUCUUGUCUAUUAUGGAAUUAAAAAAUAGACUCUUACUCGAGGUGGCUUUGCAUCAGUACAAGCUUCCACAAGAAGAUGAUCAUUCUUCUUCAAAAAUAGACUCUUACCUAACAACAUAGACUAUGUUUGGUUGAGUAUAGGAUAAAUAAAUAAGCCUUUCUUUGGUACAUGCCCUUAUUAAUUGGAUCUCCCUUAAUCUCUGCUCUUAGUUGUGGUUAGGAUCUAUCGGUGUAACGAUAGGUUUGCACCCAAUCAGCCUAGUUUCUUCCAAGAGAUAAAUUACAUACUUUAUUUGGCAAAAAACUAUACCAUGCUUGGUUCUUGCUACUUCUCUGCUAAGAAAAUAUUUUUGAUUGGAAACGACACAAAGAUAUAUUGAUAGCAAAAAGAAGUACAAGAAGAAGGAUGAGAAAUCCUCCCACCAAAGACAACUAAAUUACAGGAAAAUACACAUAAACAAACGAACUCCCACUGAGGACCAAUCCUUAUGGAGUACACGCCGCUAUCCAAUCCAGUUGAAGCACAUUAAGGGGAGUCCUCUUAAAUGCCUUGGAACAGAAAGCCCAAAGGGAAGCAAGGAAAACAAUAGAGUCUCAAAGGAACUCUGAAUUCCUUGCUUUAUCCUCGAAAAUCCUUGCGUUUCUUUCCCACCACACAACCCGAAUUAGAGCGAUGCUCGCAGCUUGCCAUAAAACAAUCCCUCUCUUAGAAUUACCGAAGCCUUUAAAUUUGAUGAACAUCAUGUCAUAUAUACUCCUUGGGGGAACCCAAUCCAUCUUAGCUAACUGAAAUAACCUGUGCCACAACCCAAUCAUCAAGGGACAAUGAAGAAAAAGAUGAUUUGCUGAUUCCCCAUGCUUCAUACACAGAAUACAAAUAUCAGGACUAAGGGCUUUGUAGGGUUUUCUCACUUGUAACAUGUCAUUAGUAUUCACCUUCUUGUGUGCCACUAACCAGACAAAGGACUUCACUUUGAAAGGAACUUGAGAAUUCCAAACGAACUUUGAAGGAAAGUCUUGAGGAGAUCCAGAAGAUUGAGAUAAUGCUAGAAAAAAGGAUUUGACUGAAAAAAUCCCUGAAGAGGAUAAUGGCCAUAAUCUGGCAUUUGGGACCAAAGGAGAAAGAUACAAAUCAUCAAGAGACCGCAUGAGGCCUUCUAAGUCCUCAAUCUCUGAAUCUGACAGGUUACGGCGGACAUUCAAAUUCCA
rnacentral:lncRNA from 1 species